AGCCAGAGCACUCUAAUUUGUGGUGGCUCCCAUCCUGAUCCUAAUUAUCUUUUUUUUUUCUUUGUAGAAAGUGGUCCCUCCACUUUUACCAAGCAUCCACGCAGGCUGGACCUAUACUGCUGGAAUCUCCACUUCUACUGAGCAUCCAUGAGGGCUGAACCUGUACUGCUGGAAUCUCCACUUCUACUAAGCAUCCAUGAGGACUGGUCUUAUACUCUUGGGAUUCAUGCUUUUUCAUGGCUGGUGACUUUGUAUGAGAGGUGCUGUGUGUGCUGGGAGAGGACUCUUGGGAUUCAAGAAGACAGGCUUGCUGAGAGUAUAGUUCAGUGACAGAGCACUUGCCUGGCAUCCACAGGGCUGUGAGUUCAAUCCCCGACACUACAAGAUCAAAGAGUUUCCUCUCACAAAUGCUGAACUAACUUGGUUUCACAGAUAAAAUAGGGCAACUGGUAAGUUAAAUUUCAAUUAAAGUUAAUGAUUUUGUUCUUCUCUAGUUUAGCAAAGCUAAAGAAGGAAACAGAUUAAGCCAUUCCCCUGUACAUUGGACAAGUUGAUGAACAUGGGAUUUGUGACUGAAGGCAGAACCGAGGAAUGUUCUUAAGAUUUCAAGGUGGCUCUUGAUUGGCAUUUUUAGAAGUUACAGUGGACUAACAGUGAGAAGGGAACCAAGUGAGGACAGGAUGGGUAGGUGUUCAGAGGGAAUGUAGUAGAAAAACUGGUUUGGACUUUUGCUAUCCCACCAGAAGCAUUUAGCCUAGGUUUGCAAAGUUUUCAUUCUAGAAAUUGCUUCAUUUUAACCUGGGUAUUAAUUAAGCUACUGUUGGGUGCCAUUCUCAAAGAUAGAUUAACUGAGUCAAAGAUUGCUAUGCUUUUUAUUUAAAAAAAUCAUAGCACUGCUAAAGGAGCUAAGCACAAUUUCCAAAACUAUCCCUAACUUCAAAGAACUUGAACUCUGUUAGAUAGUUCGAAAAAUAAACACCUAGGAAACACAGCGGUUGGUAGAGGA
rnacentral:lncRNA from 1 species